AGCCCUCCCAAGAGCAGAAGCAUGUUGGAAAUUCUGGACAAGCUGUAUACAGGAUAAUCUCCCUUCCACCUCUCCCCCUCCUCUGAACAUUAUACACAGAAGUGGCCAGUCUGAACGAGUGUGGGCGGAACUGAACCUCUCGUUCGUAAUUCCUCGGAGUGGAAGCCAUGUGUGCGAGAGAGUUCUGAGGUGGAAUUAAGAUCCUUCUGUCCCGUCUCCUGUAGCGGUCAGUGUAUAGAAGUAGGAAAGUCUGGCUUAAAUUGUAAUUCCCUCUGCGCUCUGUGUAAUUCUCUUUUCUGUUUAAGUGUCAAACAGAUGAAUGAGUCUCUGGGUAAACCCUCUAAGAAUAGUCCUUCAAAUUAUAUGUUAAGUAAAUAGCCUUUGCCCAAUGGGCCAUGUGUCUUCAUCCAGGUGGCAAGCCUCAUGAAGGAGGACUCGGGUAGUCUUGUAAGUAAGAAUGUCUAAGGCAAGAGACCAGGAGGGGUGGGGGCUAGUUGAGAAGCCCACCCUCCUAGCUAAACUGGUAGUGGAACAAGUUGGUGCCUAUGGAAGGGACGGUUCAGUGAGAAAAGCAGGAUCGGGCCCAGGUGGGCAGGCAACAGACAGAGAGAUUGGAAAACAGGUUGGAAAACUUUAAGGGUGUAGUGGAAGGAAGGAGUAAGUAAGUGUAAGCAUGGGGAUUUCAAAUACCCAGGACUUACUUGGAAUGGUGAUUUGAGUUGAUAAAAGUGGCUGUUGGGAGACAAGCAAGUGAUUUAAGGGAAAGUGAGAAGUUAACUCUGUAGUUGCUGAAGAAAACAGCAGUUGAACUUUGUAAAAAUGCUAAAGAGGAAAGUUCUUGGUGUCUUUGAAAUGUUCGUAAAUAAACUGAGGCAAAGAAAUUGUUAAUUGCAAUCAUUUAGAAUUUAGUUAAAUUAGCUGAAGAAUGUAUAUAGUGCUAUGUAAUUGAAAUUUUAUUAGGCUGUAAGGGCACUAUAAGUAGUGAUGUUUUCUUUCAGUGUUUGAAAGCAACAGUUAAAAGUAAAAAGCAAGCCAGAAAGCAUCUGUAUUAAUGCAAAUUAUCUAACUGAUAAGGUAGGAGCCACUGAAACCUGGGCUGCCUAUGAAACACAUAAAAUAUGGGAUAAUUCCUCUGUUUUUCCUGAAAUCAACAAGGGUAUUUGUCUAUUUUAAGCAAUGAUUGUCUGCCCAGAAGGGGUAGACCUCUGUUUUUUUUGUCUUUCAGAUAAUCAGAGAAAACUGAUGCCAGCUAAACAGCAUUCAACGUACCAUGCAUUUACUAGCACAAUAGAAAUUAUGUUUUGUGUUCUAUGUUCUGUCUUGUGGUGUUUGUCUUGUGGCUGGAAUUUUUGUGUUUAAUAUUUUUAUAAAAUAGUCUAGUUUAAAAUCAAAUAUAAAGGUUAAAUUAAAAUGCACGUACUUGUUUUGUUCAACUUGGAAUACAAAGUGUUUAGAUAAAUCAGGAAAAUGUGAUAUAUUAAAGUCUAAUGCAUUUCCUUAAGUAAGGAAAAGAAACUUUAUUGGUCAAAUUGUUAAUUGCAAAAAUUGUUGCUAAAAUUUGCAUACCAACAGUCUUUGAAAGCAAAGACAUGAAAAGUUAACCCACUCCCCAUAUUGUACAUGGGAUCUUUCUGGCUACCUCAGAUUUCUAGCCAGAGGGCUGGGGAUGGUGGAAGGCUAUUGGACUAGAGGUUGUAUUGAGUGAACUCCUCAAAGUGGGUGUGCUUGUCCUGGCUUGUUGCUCGAAAGCUCUGUAAUAAGGUUAUUUUAGUAAAAGGUUAUGUGUGGCAUAUAUUGAAUAAUAAGACUAAUGUACUGUAUAAUGACAAUGUGUAGGUGUUCAUUGUUGGGAAAAAGGUGUAUAAGUAAAAAGUGAAAGUUUCCUUUGCAGGUUAAAAGAAGCCAAGAAGGAAAGAAGGACAAAGAACAGAAUGAAUUAACUGAAAAAAAUAAAAUAAAAUAAAAUAGCAAGCUCAGGCUAUAGAUAAGACACUGACUCCAUUCAAGGACACUGCUCACAGUUAAGACUUGGUUAACAACCAGGAAAAGGAGAGCUUGAAUUUGCCCAUGCAGCUAUGAGAUCUGAAAAACACUGCCAGGCACUAAUGAAAUGUGUUAAGUUUCUUUUCUCACAGGUAAGGAAUUGCUACCCAAAGACCCUAGCAGCCCUGCCACUCCUUACAACCAGGAGACAGGAUUGAUGUAAAGGUCCACCAACGAAAGACUGCCUUGGCUCCAUGCUGGAAAGGCUCUUAAGUCCUGAUGACUACCAACACCGCUGUGAAGUGCCAAAGACUGACUGCUUGGACCCAAGAUUCUCAGUGCAAAAAGACCCCUCCACAUUGGGAGAAUUCUCCUACUGAUGAUUAGCCUAUUUCACCUUCUAGCUCCACUGUGCCUUCUGGACAGUAGGAAAAAAGUACAAGGUGAAGUGCUAGUAACCUCUCCCUUAUCCACUGACAGAUCUACUGUGCCUUUGAAUUUUUCUAAAAAAAGCAAAACCAUUACAGGGUGAUGUGCUAGUAACCUCUCCCCUAUAUGAUGCUGCACCACGACUGUUUUGGGAAAGAAGAAGAAACACUCACUCCACUGAAAUUGCUAAAGUCCAGGAAUUCCUGACUAGAAAGGACAUUAAGAACUGACCCUGGUGAAGAAACAAAGAAUUGUACACUGGCAGAAAAAAUUUGUGGGACCCAUGCUUGGGAAUGUGGUAUUGAUUGGAUUUUGGGGUAUAUUCUACAGGCUGUGCCCUGUGUUCUGGAUAAAUUCUUCAGCAUGUAUUGGAUUUUAAAUAACAAGUACCCGAAGAGUUUGUUCUGCCACUGGAAAUUUUACCUGUACUGAAACCAUUCCAGUGACUAAUAAUGUAACCCCCUCCUAUGCUAUUAAUGUCAAUGCCUUUUAAAAGUACCUAAAAAUAGUUAAAUAACAAAUGUAAUAUAGUACUACACCAAGGAAAGAUGGUAUUAAAUAUCACUGAGGCUGGGAAGGCAUUGCAGUGGGAUCUAGUAUGUUUGGAGAUUCAGAAUUUCCUGAAUGACCAGCUGAUGGCCAUUCGGAGUGAUCUUGAGUACCAGACUUGGCCCACUGCCCUUACAGACACAUCAGGAGUACCAUCUGAUCUGUGGUCAUGGAGAUAUACUAAAGACUUUCUGGGUGGAAGUGUAAACAUUUA